UACCUGCGCUCGUACUCCAUGGUGGCAGCACCUGUGAGGGCAGCAACUGGUCAGACUGGGAGGAACUGGGGGCUGAAGGAGCUGGGGAAGCGCUGGGGAUGGACUGGGAGAAACUGCCUGAAAAUUCUGUGGUAAACUGGGAAAGGAGAAAGGGGAGCGAAGCUGGAACUGGGAUGAACUGGGGAGCACCGGGACGUGUUCAAUGGAACAGGAGCACACAGGACCACCCUCACACCCCGCCCCUAAUUAACAUGCGAGCCCACACCUCCUAAUUAACAUGCAUAAUCCCGCAUGAGAAAUGAGCGUGGAAAUUCCAGCCCCGCAUCCCGCUCUCACACCCCCUCCCUCACAAACUGCCCCGGCAGUUCCGCUCCGCCCCGCUCCUCCCGGGGGCGGUGCAGCGCUACGACCGGCUAUGAUUGGCUGCGGAGCAAGCACCGUGAGGGAGCGGGUAGGACAAAGCGAAUGCAGCGCUGUGAUUGGCUGAGCGGUGCGUGGGCGGGACUAAAGCGGCGGUGCGAGGUCGCGAUUGGCCGGGUUGAGCGGAAGAGGAGAGGCGGAGCGCCGGGACAAGAUGGCGGCGCUNGGGGCGUGGCCAGAGAGGGCGUGGCUCACGUCGUUCUCGGUGGCCGCCUGGGGCAGCAUGCGCAGCAUGACAAUGGUGCUGGCCCUGGGCUCCUCCUCGGCGCCCUCCCGGUAAUCCUGGUCCCGGUAAUCGCCGUCGGCGCCGAACGGCAGCGCCGGGGGGUCCCGCGGAGGCUCCCGGGGCUGCUCCCGUUUCCGGGGGGGCUCCGAGGUCUCGUAGGAGGCCUGGGGGAGGGGAGGGAGGGAGGGAUGGGUGGGAGGGGGCUCAGAGCCCAUCUGCAGUGGGGUGAGCCCUCCCCGGCAGCCGGCGUGGUGCAGUCUGAGAUCCAGAGAGUGCCUUUGAUUCUAACACUUAAUUCUACGAUUCAAACAAACCCUGAAUUUCACAGAAUAUAAAAUUCACAAGCGUGUUUCCAAGGCAACACAUGAAAACAAACAUUAAACUUAAAUAAGAAAAGCCUAAGCAUGCAGAUUGAAAACUUUCUUAAAUCAUUGGGUGAAAAAGUUAGUUUAGAAAACAGAAAACAAGAUAAAAGAUUUAGGGUGUUGUUUCUUGUUCUUCUUUCUUCUUCGUGUUCUCCUCCAUGGGGUUUUUGGGUGGUAGGAAGUGAUUGGGUAAAAAAAUGCCCCAGUGCAGCACAAAGGUGUUGGGUCACUGGGUCACUAGAAAAAAUAAUUCAGUUAUUACAUCACUAAAUUUAAUAUUAAAAAUCUUUUAAAUCAUUAAAAUAAUUUAAUUAUUAAAAAUUAAGUCAUUAUAAACACAUUAUUUAAUUUAGCACCUGUUAAUUGGGUAAAUAGACAUAUAAAAGACCUUGAAAAGGGUCUUUGUUGGCCAUUUUAUCCCUUUUUUUAGCAUAGUGCACACAGCUCCUCGUGCCUUGUAAUGCUGAUGAGAAAAGAAUAAACAACUGAAACCAAAAAAGAGAAAAUUGCCU
rnacentral:lncRNA from 1 species